rnacentral:rRNA from 1 species
GACGAACGCUGGCGGCGUGCUUAACACAUGCAAGUCGAACGGUGAACCUCUUCGGAGGGGAUCAGUGGCGAACGGGUGAGUAACACGUGGGCAACCUGCCCCCGGCUCUGGUAUAACUCCAAGAAAUUGGGGCUAAUACCGGAUGUUCACCGCUUCCCGCAUGGGUGUUGGUGGAAAGGGUUUCCGGCUGGGGAUGGGCCCGCGGCCUAUCAGCUUGUUGGUGGGGUAGUGGCCUACCAAGGCGACGACGGGUAGCCGGCCUGAGAGGGUGACCGGCCACACUGGGACUGAGACAGGGCCCAGACUCCUACGGGAGGCAGCAGUGGGGAAUAUUGCGCAAUGGGCGGAAGCCUGACGCAGAGACGCCGCGUGGGGGAUGACGGCCUUCGGGUUGUAAACAUCUUUCAGCAGGGACGAAGCGCAAGUGACGGUACCUGCAGAAGAAGCACCGGCCAACUACGUG